AGUGAACGCUGGCGGUAGGCCUAACACAUGCAAGUCGAACGGCAGCACAGUAAGAGCUUGCUCUUACGGGUGGCGAGUGGCGGACGGGUGAGGAAUACAUCGGAAUCUACUUUUUCUUGGGUGAUAACGUAGGGACACUUACGCUAAUACCGCAUACGACCUACGGGUGAAAGCAGGGGAUCUUCGGACCUUGCGCGAUUGAAUGAGCCGAUGUCGAAUUAGCUAGUUGGGGGGGUAAAGGCACACAAAGGCAACGAUCCGUAGCUGGUCUGAGAGGAUGAUCAGCCACACUGGAACUGAGACACGGUCCAGACUCCUACGGGAGGCAGCAGUGGGGAAUAUUGGACAAUGGGCGCAAGCCUGAUCCAGCAAUACCGCGUGGGUGAAGAAGGCCUUCGGGUUGUAAAGCCCUUUUGUUGGGAAAGAAAAGCAGCAGGUUAAUACCCCGCUGUUCUGACGGUACCCAAAGAAUAAGCACCGGCUAACUUCGUG
rnacentral:rRNA from 1 species